UACGUAGGGGGCAAGCGUUGUCCGGAAUCAUUGGGCGUAAAGCGCGUGUAGGCGGCUCGAAUAGUCUGGUGUGAAAUCCUGCGGCUCAACCGCAGACUGUCGCUGGAUACUGUCGAGCUUGAGUCCGGAAGAGGAGAGUGGAAUUCCUGGUGUAGCGGUGGAAUGCGCAGAUAUCAGGAGGAACACCAAUGGCGAAGGCAGCUCUCUGGUACGUGACUGACGCUGAGACGCGAAAGCGUGGGGAGCAAACAGG
rnacentral:rRNA from 1 species